GCGCUUGCUUUGGCAGCACAUACACUAAAAGUGGAACAAUGCAGAGAAGAUUAGCACAGCCCCUGUGCAAGGAUGACACGCAAAUCCGUGAAGCGUUCCAUAUUUUU